rnacentral:rRNA from 1 species
AUUGAACGCUGGCGGCAGGCCUAACACAUGCAAGUCGAGCGGAUGAAGGGAGCUUGCUCCUGGAUUCAGCGGCGGACGGGUGAGUAAUGCCUAGGAAUCUGCCUGGUAGUGGGGGAUAACGUCCGGAAACGGGCGCUAAUACCGCAUACGUCCUGAGGGAGAAAGUGGGGGAUCUUCGGACCUCACGCUAUUAGAUGAGCCUAGGUCGGAUUAGCUAGUUGGUGGGGUAAAGGCCUACCAAGGCGACGAUCCGUAACUGGUCUGAGAGGAUGAUCAGUCACACUGGAACUGAGACACGGCCCAAACUCCUACGGGAGGCAGAAGUGGGGAAUAUUGGACAAUGGGCGAAAGCUUGACCCAGCCAUGCCGCGUGUGUGAAGAAGGUCUUCGGAUUGUAAAGCACGUUAAGUUGGGAGGAAGGGCAGUAAGUUAAUACCUUGCUGUUUUGACGUUACCAACAGAAUAAGCACCGGCUAACUUCGUG